AUGAACGCUGGCGGCGUGCCUCACACAUGCAAGUCGCACGGAGUCCAGCCUUUAAGACCUUCGGGUCAAAGAGGGGAAGACUGAGUGGCGGACGGGUGAGUAACACGUGGGCAACCUGGCUCAUAGAGGGGGAUAACAGAGAGAAAUUUCUGCUAAUACCGCAUAAGCACACACUGCCGCAUGGCAGAGGGUGAAAAGAGAAUCGCUAUGAGAUGGACCCGCGUCUGAUUAGCCAGUUGGCAGGGUAAGAGGCUACCAAAGCGACGAUCAGUAGCCGAUCUGAGAGGAUGAACGGCCACAUUGGGACUGAGACACGGCCCAAACUCCUACGGGAGGCAGCAGUGGGGGAUAUUGCACAAUGGGGGGAACCCUGAUGCAGCGACGCCGCGUGAGUGAAGAAGUAUUUCGGUAUGUAAAGCUCUAUCAGCAGGGAAGAUAAUGACAGUACCUGAAUAAGAAGCCCCGGCUAACUACGUG
rnacentral:rRNA from 1 species